UUUGUAUUCAAUUUAUAAUAAACUGAAAUAAUUGUGAAAAAAAAUCGAAUUCAAAGCGGAAAAAGAUACAACAUUUGAUGUUAUAUGGCAUAAAUGGCUUGCGCUUCAAAUAAUUGAAGAAGCAGACUUCAGCAAGAGGAGAAGCACAAGAACAAAAAAAA